UCAUGUAAUGUCUAUAACAUUAAUGCACCAUAUCCCAUUAUAAAUAUACAAUUAAGUGUGCUUGGGCUAGAGUAGUACUGAUGGGUGACCUCUCAGGAAGUCCUAGUGUUUUACAUGCC
rnacentral:rRNA from 1 species